rnacentral:rRNA from 1 species
UACGAAGGGGGCUAGCGUUGUUCGGAAUUACUGGGCGUAAAGGGCGCGUAGGCGGCGUGUCAAGUCAGGCGUGAAAGCCCCGGGCUCAACCUGGGAACCGCGCUUGAGACUGGCAUGCUCGAGUUCGGGAGAGGAUGGUGGGAAUUCCCAGUGUAGAGGUGAAAUUCGUAGAUAUUGGGGAAGAACACCGAUGGCGAAGGCAGCCAUCUGGACCGACACUGACGCUGAGGCGCGAAAGCGUGGGGAGCAAACAGGG